CCAUCUUAUUCCCAAUGUCAAGUAUGUGUUCUUAUCAGUUUAAUAUCUGAUAUGUGGAUCAUUGAUCCACACAAUAUUAACUCUUUUUUUUUUAGGGGGAAGGUCCACCACGGUAGCUUGCUAUUGGGACCUUCAACUGUCGUCGCAUUGCACUACUGCCUUGGCCUGGCGCACCCCAC
rnacentral:snRNA from 1 species